GUCACUUAGAUGCUACUGUGUGUGGCCCCUCUCCCCGACAGCCUGGACUCCUGCCCUGGAUCCUGAUUAAUAUCCAUAGUAUCCAUCUCCACCGUCCCCAGGUUUAAUAACCCCACUCUAGUGAAGAAGAUGUGGAGUUGAAAGGUUUUAUACAGCUCGGCAUGGUCUCUGAGUACCAGACCCCAGGCCAGCAUGUGAAAACCAGGCCACAAUAGCCAUGGAGCACCAGUAGCCCCAUGGGGAGAGCAGAGGGAGCACUCUCCAGAUCCUGCUGACCUCAGACCUGAGUCUCCAGAAUGAAGCUAAAGCUCUGAUGUUUCAAGCCCCGAGCCUAUGGCAUCUAGUUACAGCUGCCUCAGGAGCUUUCGCGGGGGAGAUCCAUGACUUUCCCGUUCUUCCUGGAGUCCCUUCCUUCCUUGGUCCUUCCUUCGGUACUUCCUGUGUGCUGACUCUUGUCAGCAAAGGGCAGGGGGCCAGUGGAAUCACAGCCUCCCUCGGCAGUCCUGCUGAGAGGCUGUCAGGCAUUUAGCGGGCGCCAGCUGUGUGAAGCCUCAAGGAGGUCACCAAGUCAGGGUUGAGAGACUAGAAACAUAGGAGGAAACAGCACUUUGGGGGGCGUCCCUGACAGACUGAUUGGACAGAGACGAUUGAUGGAAACAAACGGUUCUCAACAGGGUCCCUUGGCCAGCAGCAGGAAGCGUAUUAGACAGACAGGUAGAUAGAUUCUCAGACCCCAUCUUGGGCCCACUGAGGCAGAAAUGCUGGGGACGGACGGACUGGCCACUUGUGUGCAGAAGAAGCCCUCAGGGGAUUCCCCAGAAGCCAGUUGAAUCUUGACAUCUUGACGUGUGUCUUCCAGAGGCAGCUUAGCCACACACAGGUUCAGAGCAUCGAAGGUUGCCCUUCUACUCAGUGUAGCUCCCACCUGGAGCUCUUGGGCAGCAAGACCCUCGGGCUUCCCCACCGUGGAGGCAAGCAGUCUGCCUUUCCACAGGGUUCAUCUGAGGCUCAGGGUUAGUUUGAGGAGCGCCCACCACUGGCAUUGUAAGAGGCAGGGAGAGGACCCUUCCACAGAUGGACCUCCAUGAGACAUACUGUCAGCCAGUGACGACAGUGAGUGACAGUGAUAGACACAGCCAGCGCCUUCCAUGACCCUCCCCCAGGCAAAGUCUAGAGGGACUGCAGAGGCUCUGAAGAAACCCACCCCGGCCUACAGUGGGUGGGAUCUGCUUCUGGGUGCCUGGCCCUGAUGGAGCCCUGCUCAGCUCUAUCCAGUAAGCUGCAGACAAAGCCACACCCCAGGGAGGGGCCUCUGCAGGUGGCAAGAAUUAAGUCGUCCUGACCAGGCCCAUUGCAGGCUUCUGGGACAGGUGGUCUUGGUUCGCCCUCUCUGUCCUUCAGACUUGGAUCAUUAGCCCAACACGUGCCCUCUCGGGCCCAGCCUUGUGGAGGUAGAUUGCCCUUCCAGCUGCCACUCAGGGCCCCGGCGAUGCAGCCAAAGCACGGAGAGGAAGCCUAAAUUCCAGCUUGCUGACUCAGGACCGUGGGGGUACCUUGCUGGGUUUGGUAAGGACUAGGGCUCUGGGCCUGGUGGGAGCUCAGAUUGGAAGCACGGGUGUGGGUAAGAGCUGGAGAGUAAGCAUCCACCAGGAGAGGAAGCUGGAGCUUUAGACAAAAAAGGGGAAUGGGGGAUGAGGUCAGGGUCACCUUGGCAUUAGAGGGAGGAUGGGAGAGAGAAGAAAUGUAAAAUGUUAGAGGGUUGGGGUAAAUGAACACGAACCCCUUGGGAAGAGGGGAGGGGAGGACCACAGUUGCCCUGUCUCGUGCUGACCUGGGCUUGAGACCUAAAGGAUGUGGAAGGAAGGUUUGACCCUCGCCCUCCCUCUCUGUCCUUCUGCUGCCCCAGCCAUGGAAGGACAGACCAGAGGGAGCAGAGGCCUUCUGGAGAAGCCUCUCUCUGCUACCCCCAAUCCCACUCUGUCCUCACUGGGUGCCGUGUUUAUCCUCCUGAAGUCCGCCCUGGGUGCCGGCCUGCUCAACUUCCCCUGGGCCUUCUAUAAGGCGGGAGGCCUGGUGCCCACCUUCCUGGUGGCACUGGUGUCUUUGCUCUUCCUGAUCAGCGGCCUGGUCAUCCUGGGCUACGCAGCCUCCGUCAGUGGCGAGAUCACCUACCAGGGCGUGGUCCGUGAACUGUGUGGGGCCGCCAUGGGGAAGCUGUGUGAGGCCUGUUUCCUGACCAACCUGAUCAUGAUCUCUGUGGCCUUCCUCAGGGUGAUCGGAGACCAGCUGGAGAAGUUGUGUGACUCUCUCCUGCCUGAUGUCCCACAACCCUGGUAUGCAGCCCAGGACAUCACUCUGCCCCUGAUCUCCGUGCUGGUCAUCUUUCCCCUGUCAGCACUUCGGGAAAUCGCCUUCCAGAAGUAUACCAGCAUCCUAGGUACCCUGGCUGCUUGCUACCUGGCACUGGUCAUCACAGUCCAGUACUACCUAUGGCCCCAGGGCCUCGUGCGCCAGCCCCGUCCUUUGCUGAGCCCGUCCCCCUGGACCUCUGUGUUCAGCGUCUUUCCUACCAUCUGCUUCGGAUUCCAGUGUCACGAGGCCGCGGUCUCCAUCUACUGCAGCAUGCAGAACCAGAGCCUCUCCCACUGGGCCCUGGUUUCUGGGUUGUCCCUGUUGGCCUGCUGCCUUGUCUACGCACUGACAGGUGUUUUUGGCUUCCUGACCUUUGGGACUGAAGUGUCGGCUGAUAUCCUAAUGUCCUACCCAGGGAAUGACACGGCCAUCAUUGUAGCACGGAUUCUCUUUGCUGUCUCCAUUGUGACUGUCUACCCCAUUGUGCUGUUCCUGGGGAGGUCUGUGAUGCAGGACUUUUGGAAAAGGAGCUACUGGGCCACACGGGGUCCUCCAGUGCUGGCUGACCCCUCAGGGCCAUGGGUUCGGCUGCCACUGACCUUCCUGUGGGUGUCAGUGACCCUUGCCAUGGCCUUGUUCCUGCCGGACCUCAGUGAGAUCAUCAGCAUUAUCGGUGGCAUCAGCUCCUUCUUCAUCUUCAUCUUCCCCGGUUUGUGCCUCAUCUGUGCUGUGGAUACGGAGCCCAUGGGACCAAGAGUCAAGUGCUGCCUGGAGGCCUGGGGCACCCUCUCUGUGAUGGUGGGCACUUUCAUCUUUGGCCAGAGCACAGCUGAGGCCAUGGUAGAACUGCUCUGAGAGACGUCUGGGCUCUUGCCUGAAGACCCCUGUGGGCUCUUGAAUCAAAGAGGUGCAGGGGAAAUGGAUGGUCCUACCUGCUUGCUGCCUACUGAGCUCUGCUUCUCCUGUGGCUCCUGGGGCCCCGGUGAGGAAGGACCACUGCGACACACCGGUUGGUGACUCAGGACAAUAGGUCUCAGGAUUAACAUUUGGAAGCCCCAGUGAGAUAAGAAAGACCUUUCCACCUCAAAUGCUCAUGCUUCCCUCUGGGGCUGGUGGGCCGCCCUGGUGGUUCACACUUUGGAAUAUUAAUCCAAAACUCCACUCCCCACUCCCCCCACAGUGAAUGGCCAGGAGAUAGCAAGCAUUUUUGGUAAGUCAUAGAAGCCUUUUUCACUUCCUGUGACACUUUUCUACCUUUAGGGGAGGACUUUAUGAGGUCUAUGCACCCCCGUACUUGGUGAAGGGAGAUGUCCCACAGCCCACUGGUUAUUUCUGGGGAGGUUCAUGUGGAGUCUCAAUUGCCCUUUCUUCUGACCUGCUAUGAAAGCAUCCUAGGGACACCAGGGGCCAUGUGCUCAAGUGUAUCAGAGAGGCCUGGCCUGUGGGCGGGCAUUCAUCAGCAGGGUGCCAAUACAUGGACUAUGCAACAAAGCCAGGACAUCCCAGGACAUGGGGGGCCAAACCUAGAGUUUGGAAAGGCCCCGGAGCAGAGAUGUCAGAAGGACCAGGGUUUGUGCCAGGAGACAACCGAAACAACCUCUUACCUGGUAAAUGUCUCUUGGUCUGAAGCAGAGGACUCCAACUGUUAGAUGUCAUUGUCUGAUGUUUUCUGUUGUCAUUUGGCUCUACGUUUGCCUUUGUUGCUUUGACUCUGUGUCCUGUCUUGUGGAUGUACCUGUCAUUAUAUGGUCCGACUUGGGGAUGCUGGGCAACUUUGAAAGACCCAGGGUCCCUGUACAGAAGCCAGUGGUCAUCCCUGCUGUACCACUACUAUGCCAGUAGGGAAAUGCAUUCAGCAGCAGUGACCACCAAGGUGUCCCUCCUCACAAAUUACAACAUUGGAGGAGGUAUCUAGCUGUUUUGAAUGUAUGGAUGUGGACACUGCAUGUUUGUUUCUGAUUGGUCUCCCUUGAAUGUGUGAACUCCCUGUGUUCCAUGCUUCUUCGUUAAGGCUCAGCUGAUACUAUUACAGUCAGUGAUGGCCCAGGACCCAGAAUUCAUCUCUGAGCUGUCUGGCCAGUGGAUCUAAUGUAAUAGGGAGUCAAAUGUCAUUUGAGUAUGAAUAAUAAUAACUUUAUUGAAAAACUGGCUCUAAAAUUAGGUUAUGGCUCUCCCUGUUCCAGACCAAGACAUUCUUUUAAAGUCUAUGUCUGGGGACAAGAUGCACAGCAGGGAGAAGAGAGCAAGACAGCUCAAGGGAUUAUUGAUUUGUAAGUUCAUUGGGUAUGGUGAAAAAUCUGUAAUACUUGUAACAAAAAAGUUAACAUAAAACUUGCAUAGGAUUGGUAAAAGUCUGUGCAUAGGUAAUCUUAAAGGUUCUGUGUGGCAUGACUGUAUUUUGGGAUAUAAGCAACACCUGGCCUGCCGCCAUCCUUAGGCAGUCACGUGACUGAAAGCCGUCUUUGCUAGGGUUGCAGAGGCAAGAUGUCCUACGGCUACACUGCCAUCUUGAUUAGGGACAAUCACAAGGUGUGGCCAACCAAGGAGCUAACAGGUCUCCAAAGAUACUUUUAAAUUUGGGUGGAUUUUGUUAUGCUAAUUCCCAUCCUGUCUUGAAAACACUGUUUAUGAAAGAUAGGACUUAAAACACAGUGUUUGUUUAAUGAAGUAUUAAAGCUGCAUCUUCAUGCAUUCAUAUACAAGAAGGAAUCUUGCCGGCAGUCAAACUUUGUAACAUAAAAGUCACCCAGGUGGUUUUAAGGACAUUGCAUUGUUUGCCCUGGUGAAGUUUGCUUCUGCCUUGUGCAGAUUGUGGUUGUGCUCAGUUUCUCACUCUUGAAUUAAAAAGGUACUUUUUUCCAGGAGCAUGCAGUUGUGAGAUUUUAAACUUCUUUAAAAAGACAUUGUGGACUUUUCCAGAAAAUGUAAAUUAAAAAGUAAAUAUUUUUAAGAAACCGCUUUUAAAAAUAAUUAAUUCUAUAAGGCUCUGGGACAUUUAUAAGAUAUUAUAAUGUCUUUAUUAACAUGUGAUUUUGAUAAAUAGAUAAAUAAAAGGUUAAAAUUAGGGCCACAGCUUUGAGCACCAAACAUUAAAAACUAGAGACUAAGGUAUUUCUAUAUUUGAUGCAGUGACCUAAGCUGUCUGGCGAAAGGCCUCUCCCUAGUAAGGUCUGUUCAGGCUAACAGAGACUGAUUUAAGAAUGUAUGUCUAGCCGGGCGAUGGUGGCGCACGCCUUUAAUCCCAGCAGUCGGGAGGCAGAGGCAGGCAGAUCUCUGUGAGUUCGAGACCAGCCUGGUCUACAGAGCUAGUUCCAGGACAGGCUCCAAAGCCACAGAGAAACCCUGUCUCGAAAAACAAAAACAAAAACAACAAAAAAAAAUGUAUGUCUAACUUCCUUGUUUUUGCUACUUUGUUAAACUGUAGCUAUUUUGGUAAACUGAGUCAUGCCAGAAAUUGUUAUACUCUAUAUGGUGUCCUAUGUAAGGACCAGGAAAAUAAAGUUUCUGAACUCCU